UCCCUCCAUGACAGAAACAAUAUUUCUCAUUUCUCAGAUGGUGCCAUUUGGAAGAAAGUAUCCAUAUUAAAGUUUUAGGUUAGCAGUUACUUCAGUGUUUCAGAAUAGGGUCGGAGAGCCAGGUGGGGGAAUGUGAUGUUUUACUCCAUUUGAAUUAUACUACCCAGCCCCUCUCAUUCUGUGUUGGGACAUGAUACUUGACUGAUAUAGAGCUGGCUGGAAGCCACAUCACAACUUCACACUAUGCUCUUGCCUCUCACUCCAGAUGCUAUACAAGAUGAGACCAUACAGACAGCAAUGAAGCUUAUCACUGUAUUGCAGUUUCAACACCCAAUAUAAAGGAGAGGAGCCAAAGGACGUGGUAAGUUCUGAACUGCCUGGACCUUCUCUGCUCUAGAGAAGUUGCUGGUGCCACAGUUACAACAUGUGGUAAGCAGGCAUUCAGACAGCACAGGAAAAAGACUAUCGUGACCGUGCUACAGCUGUCUCUGAAGCAGCUGCAGGCCAGGAUGCAGCUGCAGCUUCCUGUCUGCCCAGCAGGUUGUUGGAGGAGCAUCUCGAGGUGGAUGGUUCCCUCUGUGGGUUUCUGCAGCUCGUGGAUCCCAGCAGCUAAACAACUGAUUCUUGGAGACAGCAUAACUAUAUGUAAAGCAUGGACUUUGUAAAAGUCUCAGAUUCUUUUCUUACUGCUCAAGCCUGGAAAUGGACAGGGAAUAAAAGCUAUUAAAAAAUGUUUGUCAAAAAGCAUCUAGGGCAUGAACUUUUUUUUCCAAGUGCCUUUUAUUGUUUGACUUUUCCUCCUUGUAUUUAGCACCAUAUUGCUGUUUUGGGUGCUAGCAUGGAAGACCAGAGUAACUGUGUUCCAAAUUCCAUUCAUAGUAAAAACAGGUCAGCUUACUAAAACUGUGGGUAAGAGCCAUGUCUGAUAUUUUUCAGCAGCCAGCAAUCCACUUAGCAGCCCCUUUGUAAAUGCUUGCUUUUGGAAUAUCUUGGGUAUUUUGUGAUAUCUAAUUGCUGCUGUUGGGUUAAAUAAAUUAGAGCAACUUGUUUCCAGCAAACUCACUGUAGAGUGCUUCCACAUUUUUGUCUGACAAAGUGUGUGAGAUAUGAUGUUAGGAGAUUUUUAAUAAAACAUUUGAUUUUAGUUAGAAAUAGCAAAGGCAAACACACUGCUC